rnacentral:tRNA from 1 species
GCCGGAGUGGUGGAAUUGGCAGACACGCAGGAUUUAGGUUCCUGUGCCGAAAGGCGUGAGAGUUCAAGUCUCUUCUCCGGCA